GAACCCGCCCCGGAGGAGUCGUCCGCCUUCAGGUCUGGAGAAUCCUCCGGUAAUCCCGCUUCACGACGCAAAAUGUCCACGGACUCGGACAGCAAAUGAAAAAUGUACAUCAGACGUUCCGGGACCUCUCGUGUGGUUUUGUCCAACCAAUGUUCAAAAAUCAAAGAUAUUCAAAUGCCAUCCAUCAAGAGUAAGAAAACCAGAUACUAUUCACAUUUAGGAAGCUGACACCAGUACAUAUAUACACACACACAUAUAUAUAUAUAUAUGUACAUUCAACAUUUAGUUUUUAGAGACAUAUAGCUUUGCCCUAGAAUCCAUGCUUUUAAGACCGCUUGUGUUCAUGGACUAUCCCUCUGUGCUCCACAGUCUCAUAUCAUUGUAAUACAAUGCACCCUUUAUUUGAAAUACAGUUAAUAAAUGUCAGUCAACGGGUGAUGCAAUAAAAGUGAGGAACACACAGGUUUUAAAUAGCAUUGUGAUCUUGAAAAGCACUUCAUCAAACUCAACUUUGUGUUUUGAACACUUGGAUUGAUUUAAUUGUAGCAGUGGAGUCAGAAAACACAUUACGAAUAAAACUACAUACAAGUAUCAGCAGUACCCACUUUGCAUUCUGCUGAUGCUGGAUUUCUGCCCACACAGAAUAACACACCUUCUUCCCUCUGACUCCCUGUCAGAGAUGCACUCAUAUCGCUGACUGUGCAUUAUUUGGGUCAGCGCAGUGUCUAUUUUCAUUUCUAGGCGACUGUCAGUCAAGAAUCCGGCUUUAACCGCAUUUUUUUCUAUUUUCAAACAGUGCGCCGCCUUUCUCAUUCAGUUCACGUCUCUUUCACAAAGUAUUUUCCUCAAUUUCUGUCUUAAUUAUAACGCCUCAUGAAUUUGAAUGUAUGUACACGUUACAAAAUCUUUCUUCUAACCUGUACUGCUCAAUUAAUUCUCGUCGAGCUCAGAUGCGCCGUGAUCUCUCCGGCUCAUCCACACUGGAGUGAUAACUCAGCGGCAGGUUUAACGACUGCAGACCCAGGUCCAUGGGUCCAGGGACAAAGGAGGAGAAGGGGUUCACAGCAGAAGCAGGAGGGCGUUGUGUAACAUUGCGGCGGUGGAGCUCGGCGAGUGGGAGGGAGAUGGGGGUGGGGCGGUGGGGACGUUUUAGUGGGUGUGUGGGAGACAAACGCGUUAACAUCAGCAACUCGGGGCGUGGUCGUCAUCAGCGCAGGUUCAUUGCAACGCUGCUGAUGAGGGACUGUGAGGAGGAUACAUGGAUGACAAUAUAUGUGGUGUAAUACUAAAAUCAGCAAUUUGAAUACGCGUGUUUGAUGCUCUUUUUGUAAUUCACCCUCUGCAGAUAUGCAGCUGACCCUGAGGACACGUGCCAGGUUAAAGGCUCAUGAUCUCAGAUCUAUAAGUGUUCCCUUCAUAUGAUAUACAUGGAGCCCUUUGUGCUGGGUGAUUACUGUGUCCAGCACCUGUGCCACAAUAAAGAAAUGAGUGUGACAAGUGCUUCUUGUAUUUAUCAGAUAUUUAUUUUUAAAUUAUAGAAAAAUGAAUGGUAAUUAAAGUCUCUUGCGGCCGCUUUAAUGCCUCGUGCAGCUCGCCGAUGUUAAUAUUGAUUUAAAAUAACUCUGAUGUCAGCUGGUAAUCGAGGAUUUAAUCGUGUUAAGUGAGAGACAACGGGCUCUUGAGGUUCUGACCCUGUAACAGCACCAAUUUAGAAAAUGCCAAAGAACAUUUUAAUGGAGCAUUUCUUCAUUUACUUUUAAUCUAUUUGAUUUCUUCUAAUUGUAUUAAACAAGUCUAGAUGUUGGUGUGUGUGUCGAGCUAUAUAACAUGUUAAACGCUUUCUUCCCUCUCCCAUAAAAUGGUGACAAAAAAGCUGAA